UUAUCUUCAUACUUUUGUGUUGCGUUUCUGUUGAUUCUCCUUUUAUGUAUCCUCUCGGCUCUCUCGUUAAUCUUUUAUUACAUAAACUCGUGCAUCAACAUAAACACAAAACAGAAGCAUGAAGAUGA